rnacentral:rRNA from 1 species
GAUGAACGCUGGCGGCGUGCCUAAUACAUGCAAGUCGAGCGAACAGACGAGGAGCUUGCUCCUCUGACGUUAGCGGCGGACGGGUGAGGAACACGUGGAUAACAUACCUAUAAGACUGGGAUAACUUCGGGAAACCGGAGCUAAUACCGGAUAAUAUAUUGAACCGCAUGGUUCAAUAGGGAAAGACGGUUUUGCUGUCACUUAUAGAUGGAUCCGCGCCGCAUUAGCUAGUUGGUAAGGUAACGGCUUACCAAGGCAACGAUGCGAAGCCGACCUGAGAGGGUGAUCGGCCACACUGUAGCUGAGACACGUCCCAGACGCCUACGGGAGGCAGCAGUAGGGAAUCUUCCGCAAUGGGCGAAAGCCUGCCGGAGCAACGCCGCGUGAGUGAUGAAGGUCUUCGGAUCGUAAAACUCUGUUAUUAGGGAAGAACAAAUGUGUAAGUAACGAUGCACGUCGUGACGGUACCUAAUCAGAAAGCCACGGCUAACUACGUG